rnacentral:misc_RNA from 1 species
AUUUUUCAAUUAUUAUUUCUUAGUUUAUCAGUCAAAUUAGAAGAGGUUUUGAAUUGAAUCUUGGGCCGGUUGUCUAGAAAGCCAACCAUCUUUAAGCCCAAAAUUAAAAAGUUUCAGUAUAUCACAAUGGAAAUAAUCUCUAAAUGAGAAAUUUCAUGAAUGAUCCUUCCGCAGGUUCACCUACGGAAA